CCAGGUUCAGUGAAUUGUGGUGUUCUGCAUAAACCUAAGCGAAGUUUCAGUUCCCAUUUGAGCAUUACAUAUGUUGUUUUUAACAGUUCUGAGGCCCAGGAGGUCUCGUCGCCUGAACAUGAAGAGGGAAUCAUCCCUGAUUCACCAGUCCUACCAGCCUCCUUUCCUGUGGCAAACAGACUGAAGAAACAUAAAAGUAUCAACAAAAUUAAACACGUUUGCUACACAGAGAGGCCUCUACCUCACUCUAACAACUCCCUCUUCAAAGGUCAGUCCUCUUUAGAGCAACUUCCUCCUCGUGAACCUGUCUGAAGGAACGAUGUGUUCUCACCUGUGCUGUUCUUUUAUUUUAAAGAGUUAAAUAAAGAUCCUGUCGGCGGCAUAAAAAACCCAGACAGAGCCGAAGUGCUUGUGCCAAAUACUUGUGAACUGGACGCAUCGCAGAUCUCAAAUGAUGUGUGUGAGGAUGUGGAGGAGGCCGUCGCAGAAACGUGUGGCCUCGAUCUUCUUGUUAAGCAUCACACGAAAAUGGAGGUGGCUAGAAACCAGCAAUGCAGCUCAAAACUUAAAAAGCCUUUUAGCUUCUCCCCUUCGUCCACACUGAUCCACUGUCCAGACUCGACCACAGAGACGUCUCCGUCUCUUCUCCCACGGGUCAAACGGUUUUCACAAGAUGGCUCCAUGUGCAAGUCCAAACGCAGGAAGGAAGAAAGUGAGCCAGAGAUUCGGGAUUACAACGAGCAAGGAAUCCAAAAAGACACAGUCAGGCAACCUGAAGCGAUCCACCAAAGCUCAACAUCUGUCAGCAAGAAGGAGCAACUGGACAGCAAGGUUUGGUCAGCACAAAAGGAGACUUCUAGUCAAAGACCAGACAUCUCUUGUAUAAGUCCUGCCUUCAAGAAGCCAAACAUGAAAUAUGUUCAAGAUGUUAGGAAGCAGAGAACUCCUCUACAUCUGAACGCUUCACAUCACCAGCCUAAAACUGAAGACAAAGAAAAUAAGCAAACAGUGGAGCAAAUGUGGAGCAUAGAUCCUGCACUGGCUCUCUCUCUGUAUGACAGUGAAUGGAGGACAGAUGAGGAGGAUGAAAAACAGCUUCCUGGAGAACUGGUAGACACUGACAUCACUUGGGUCAGUCACAGCUUACUUCAAUGUCAGGGAGUAACGGACCAGGACACAGAAGACAGUGCAACUGGACUAGGAGAGAAGGCAAACGACAGUAUGGAUAUGCUUUUUGAAACAACAGCUUAUGGGGAGUACAAGUCGUACAACAGUCCACACUUAGGCCGAAGCCAACCCUGUGAUGAUGAUUCUGAUGACUAUGAAGAGGAGGAAAAGGAAGAAGAGGAGCAUGAUGCACAAGAGCCACCAGAGAGCCCUCCUCGUAGAAAAGCAGGGUAAGAAACACCGAUUUUAUUUUUUUUAUUUAAUUACAUUUUUUAAGUGAAGGCUGCAGUUUUAUUACAUUCUUGUUUAAUGGACAUUGUCGACCCUAAUCUUUUUUUU
ensembl:lncRNA